rnacentral:rRNA from 1 species
GAACUUUCCAGAGAUGGAUUGGUGCCUUCGGGAACUGUGAGACAGGUGCUGCAUGGCUGUCGUCAGCUCGUGUUGUGAAAUGUUGGGUUAAGUCCCGCAACGAGCGCAACCCUUAUCCUUUGUUGCCAGCGGUCCGGCCGGGAACUCAAAGGAGACUGCCAGUGAUAAACUGGAGGAAGGUGGGGAUGACGUCAAGUCAUCAUGGCCCUUACGACCAGGGCUACACACGUGCUACAAUGGCGCAUACAAAGAGAAGCGACCUCGCGAGAGCAAGCGGACCUCAUAAAGUGCGUCGUAGUCCGGAUUGGAGUCUGCAACUCGACUCCAUGAAGUCGGAAUCGCUAGUAAUCGUGGAUCAGAAUGCCACGGUGAAUACGUUCCCGGGCCUU